AUUGAACGCUGGCGGCAGGCCUAACACAUGCAAGUCGCACGAGUGGCGGACGGGUGAGUAAUGUAUGGGAAACUGCCUGAUGGAGGGGGAUAACUACUGGAAACGGUAGCUAAUACCGCAUACCAUCGGAUGUACCCAUAUGGGAUUAGCUAGUAGGUGGGGUAAAGGCUCACCUAGGCGACGAUCCCUAGCUGGUCUGAGAGGAUGACCAGCCACACUGGAACUGAGACACGGUCCAGACUCCUACGAGAGGCAGCAGUGGGGAAUAUUGCACAAUGGGCGCAAUCCUGAUGCAGCCAUGCCGCGUGUAUGAAGAAGGCCUUCGGGUUGUAAAGUACUUUCAGCGGGGAGGCGUUACCCGCAGAAGAAGCACCGGCUAACUCCGUGCCAGCCGCCGCGGUAAUUC
rnacentral:rRNA from 1 species